GGGUGCUUGAGACUUUCUGUCUUGAGCAGUCGUGAUAGGCAGAAAGACAAAAGCCCCGAGUUAUUUUUUUAAUUAACCCGAGGCUCCGUUAUGCUUAGACACCAUUAUGGUAGCCUCUUAACUGCAGAAAUGCAAUCGGAGGUCAAGAUG
rnacentral:antisense_RNA from 1 species